GACGAACGCUGGCGGCGUGCUUAACACAUGCAAGUCGAGCGGUAAGGCCCUUUCGGGGGUACACGAGCGGCGAACGGGUGAGUAACACGUGGGUGACCUGCCCUUAGCUCUGGGAUAAGCCUGGGAAACUGGGUCUAAUACCGGAUAUGACUCCAUGACGCAUGUUGUGGGGUGGAAAGCCUUGUGCGGCUAGGGAUGGGCCCGCGGCCUAUCAGCUUGUUGGUGGGGUGAUGGCCUACCAAGGCGACGACGGGUAGCCGGCCUGAGAGGGCGACCGGCCACACUGGGACUGAGACACGGCCCAGACUCCUACGGGAGGCAGCAGGUGGGGAAUCUUGCGCAA
rnacentral:rRNA from 1 species